ensembl:lincRNA
AAGGCCUGUAAUCCCAGCACUUGGGAGGCUGAGGCAGGAGGAUUGCUGUGAGUUCAAGGCCAGCCUAGGCUACAAAGUGAGUUUGAGGCCAGCCUGAACUGCAUAAUCUCAAAACACCACCACCAACAAAAAAGAAGUAGAGUCAUAGCAAAAAUAGAAGUGAAGGGAAUUCACUGUGCUAUUUCAAAAAUAUCCUGGAAAAUGAAAUUAAGUAAUCAUAUAAAUUAUUAAAGGUGUUUUGGCUUCACUGGGGGGAGGUGUACUGAAGCUGGGGUGAUAUUGACCCAUCCCUCACUUUUUCCACAUUCAGCCUGAUGAAGAGCACAUGUGAGAGAAACACAUAGCCCUGCAGAGCAAACCCACAUCCACACACGUUCCGGACACCGCCCACAGCACCGUAAUUCCAUCCAAUACAUGGUGCUCACACUGGAACGGAAGAAAAGCAGAAGAAAACUUUUGCAGGUUCCUGACCUGAAGCCUGCCUUCUGCAGCUCUGCUGCUCUGUUUGCUGGCCCGAGAUGCUCCAAGCUGUUUCUGCACCUCCCCCCAUGCACCAGAUCACACAGGAUCACAGAGGCUUCUGCCCAUGGGACAGAAGACCAAGCAAUGGACUGAAGCUGUGAGACCUGCAGCCGCCUGGCUGUGCCACUCUUCAGAGCAGCGACCUUCAGGAAGCAGCCUUGAUCUCUAGAUCUUUCUGCCGUCAUAAAAUUGUUAGACUGAAUGUUUCCAAAGGCUUUUUUUCCACCCAAUUUAAAAGUUCUAUGAUUCAACCAUUCAAGUUCUAUGAUUUCUCUCUCUGCCAUUUGUUUGUUUGUUUGUCUUUUUGAGACAAGGUCUCGCUAUGCAGUUCAGGCUGGCCUUGAGCUCACUUUGUAGCCCAGGCUGGUCUUGAACUCCCAACGACUCUCCUGCCUCAGCUUCCUGAGUGCUGGGAUUACAGGUGUGCGCCAUCAAGCCUGUCUUGAACUCACUUUGUAGCUCAGGCUGGACUUGAACUUGCAGCAGCCCUCCUGCCUCAGCCUCCCAAAUGCUGGGAUUGCAGCUGUGGGCCACCAUGCCUGGUGAACCCUGCUUUUUAAGCAAACCUUUGCUUCUCAUAAAUUAUCAAGCCCAAGUGAAUCUAAAUCUUAUGAAAUAUCGUUUUCUCUUUUUACCACCUUGUAAGCAUAUUUUCUCUUCCUUGGUCCACCACACAUAGAACCAACAAAGUAAACAUCUCUACCAGUAAAGAAAACAGUCUUUAUUUAGUAUUUUCUGGGUCUGAGUAUUUAUGACUUUAGGGCAACUUGAUCUGAGGUCCAACUUCAAAUGGUUGAAGGAUUUUAAAGGUUCCAGAGCUACCAAUCUUUAACUAGACAUAAAAAGCUUCAGGUUCAUUUGGGGCCACCAGAGCAGGACCCUCAAGGAGAGGAAGAGCAGAGGGUUAGUUGCACUAUUUUCAAAAACCAAACUAGACUGAAAUUUCACCACUCAAGAAAGGCUGGCUGGGGACUUCCUAACGCCUUGCCAAGUGGUGACAAGAUUGCUUCUUGCCUGCUACUGAUGACUGCUUUGUCCCUCUCCGGGUAUCAAGGAUCGCAAUGCCCACCCUUCUUUCCCAUCACAAGCCCAUUUGAGAAUCCCAUUCAGAAAAGACCUGGGCUCAUCCAGAUGGAUUUUAAUCUCUAGAAAUGUGUGUAUUUGCAUCAAGGACAUAGGUUCCUUGGGCACCAAUCUUAGACAACUCUUCUACUAGCUGAAUGACUCUGGGUUAGUCUUCACAUUUCUGUGCCUCAGCUUACUACCUGUGAGCAAUAAAGAUAGGGUUAUUACGAGAAUUAAAUAAAAUGAUCUGCAUGAACCCCUUUAGCACAAUGGUUGGCACUGAUGGCUUUUGUUUGUAUGUUUGUUUUUGUCUUUUUGAGACAGGGUCUCACUAUGCAGCUCAGGCUGUCCUUGAGCUCACUUUGUAGCCCAGGCUGGUCUCAAACUCGCAGUGAUCCUCCUGCCUCAGCCUCCUGAGGGCUGGGAUUACAGGCGUACACCACCACGCCCAGCUACUGAUGGUUGAUGUUACAAUUAAAAAUGAACACCAAGUGCUUUCUGUCACCUGACUUGGUGCACUGGAGAUGGGAUUGGAUAAUGGGAGGACAAAGAGGGAUGUGAUGGCUGGGGUUCUAAUCCCUGUUCUCAUCUCCUUGCUUUAAGGUAAGUCCCAGCCCCUCCCCAACCCCAAUGCUAUAAAAAUAAGAAGUGGCCAGGUGUGGUAGUGAACGCCUAUGAUCCCAGCAUUUGGGGGGCUGAGGCAGGAGGACUGCUGAAAAUUCAAGGCCAGCCUGAGCUACAUAGGAAGACCCUAUCUCUAAAAAACAAAAAUAAAUAAAGGAAGAAAGAAGGCUGAGGAGGUGGCACAGGCCUGUAAUCCCAGCACUUGGGAGGCUGAAGCAGGAGGAUUGUUAUGAGUUCAAGGCCAGCGUGGGCUACAA